rnacentral:rRNA from 1 species
GUUCUCCCCGAAAACUAUUUAGGUAGUGCCUCAUGUAUUACUCUCGGGGGUAGAGCACUGUUUCGGCUAGGGGGACAUCCCGUCCUACCAAACCGAUGCAAACUCCGAAUACCGAGAAGUAGAGCAUGGGAGACACACAGCGGGUGCUAACGUCCGUUGUGGAAAGGGAAACAACCCAGAUCGCCAACUAAGGUCCCAAAAUUACAGUUAAGUGGGAAACGAAGUGAGAAGUCAGAGACAGCCAGGAGGUUGGCUUAGAAGCAGCCAUCCUUUAAAGAAAGCGUAACAGCUCACUGGUCAAGUCGACUUGCGCGGAAGAUUUACCGGGGCUUAAGCUGUAUACCGAAGUUGCGAAUGCAUAUUUAUAUGCGUGGUAGGGGAGCGUUCUGUAAGUCUGUGAAGGUGUAUCGCGAGAUAUGCUGGAGAUAUCAGAAGUGAGAAUGCUGACAUGAGUAACGAUAAUGCGGGUGAAAAACCCGCACGCCGAAAACCCAAGGGUUCCUGCGCAAUGCUAAUCAGCGCAGGGUUAGUCGGUUCCUAAGGCGAGACUGAAAGGUGUAGUCGAUGGACAACAGGUUAAUAUUCCUGUACCGCGUUUACUGCGA